UGCUGCGUUGAGAGAGAAAGCUGUUGCCACUGCGUCUCGGCUCUGUGUGGUGGUGCUGCGUCUCUGCUCUGAUUCGGUUGGUGAUGGUGCUACUGCUGCUGCUGCAUCUAUUUCGGUAAAUUUUGUUGCGUCUAUUUUGUUCAUAUGAAUGUUAAUUGAUUUUUUUUUUCUGGGUUUUUUUCAUAUGAUUUUAAUUGAUUUUUUGUUUCUAUGUUUUGUUCAUACGAUUGUUAAUUGAUUUUUUUUAUUCUUUCCUUUAUUUGCUAUGAUUUCGUUUCUCUUUGGGAUAAAUUUAGGAAGUAUGAGUCUAAUUUUUAUUGAAUGUAUGAUAUGUGAAGGCCCUACCUACUGUUAUUUUGGGCUAAUGUGUCAGCUACAGGUUGAUAUUUUGGGCUAAUGUGGAGAGUAGGGUAGAAUAGUUUAUGAAUAAAUUGAAAGGAUGGUCAUAUAGAUGGUUAAGGCUGAAAUUGCAUAAAAGUUCUCCUCAGCUUUUACCCAACAAGUAAGUGUGAUAUUUUUGAAACCAAGGUUAAACACAAGAGUUAGGAUUAUGGUAUUGCAUGUUCUUUCUGGAACUUUAAUUGCUAUCUCCAUUAUGGUUCUCUUAUAUCUUUUUGUUUACAUCAAAGAAAGAUGGGUUAUGGAAUAGGGACUUUCAGGUUUUUCUGUGAACUUCCCUUGUGUUCACUUGUUUAUGCUUCACUCUAUGCUUUCAUUAUUUCCUCAUUUUAUUUUUCCACUUUCAAUAUCAUUGGUUCAUCAUAGUUUCAAGGAUUUUGCAAUGAAAUUUGCUUAUUGAUGCAUUCGCAACCUUUUCUUUUUAUGUAUUUCUUAUUGCCAACUCCUAUGCUCUCAUUCGAUAUAAUGAUGUUGACUGCAGAGACAUAAACGGGGGAAGAAAAUAUUUGUUGUGACGCAUGAGGAGCUAAAGGUGAUUCAUUAAAAUACUCUCAACCUUGAACCACAUUCAAUUUCUAUUUUCCAGUCUGAUUUAUAUGUGCAUAUUCUUAUAUUGUAGCAUCUUAGGCGGAGGAUAAAAGACUUUGCAUCUACAUACAUGAAGAAUUGAAGAUUAAUAACUAUACUACUAUUCUUGUGAUGGGGUUGCUACACAGCAGGGGGCAAAAUGUCUAAAAGCAAACAGCGGGGGGCAAAAAGUUUAAGUGGCUUUGCUCUCACUCCUGUAAAAUUAUGGAAGUAUUUCGAAUAUUUUCAAUACAUCAAAAGAUAAUGUUAAAAGAUUUGGGAAUUAGAUUAAAAAGGCAAGAAUGUAGCACUAAUGCAGAUUAUUGAGAAAUGAUUCAAUUUUUGGGGGUUUAAUUGAAUCAUUAACCUUCUUGACAUUCCUCAGUUAAGCAUGAUAUAAGUAGUCAAUUUUACAACGCAGAUGAACUCAAAAAUUGGCUAAUCAAAUAUGAACUUCCUCGUCAGUAGUGAGUUUUGGUCGUGGAAGGGUAAAAAAGUAUCAAGAGUACGCAGCCAUGCAGGGCGAGGAUUUGAUGUUUUGAGAGCUGUUAAAGUGUCGUCUCCCUCUCAGCAAACUCUGACGGUAAUUUUUGAUAAAUAUUUUAUUUAAAUCAUGUUCUGUAAAAUACAAAAAAAAAAUCAUGUGCUGUAAUAUAUAUUUUAAUUAUAGGGUAAAAUAAUGAAAAUGUGAAACUUUCUUUUUUAAUAAAUGUUAAUACCAAAAUAUUUAUGGUAUGUCUGUGUAUGUAUUAGUUAAAACAAUUACUUUGUAGGUAUAAGUAUGACUUAAAUAUUUAUGCAUAAGUUAGAUAUUAUUUAAUUGUUUCUUAGAUUUUCAUUUUAAAUUUUUUGCAUCUAUUUAAGUGAUAAUCCUAUUUUGCACAAAAUGAAUUAUAGAGUAAACUAAGUAUAAAUUUAUGGAAUGAUUUUUUGGGUUAUUGUUUAAAAAUAGGAAUAAAAUAAGCUAAAAUUUAAAAUAAAAGAAUGAAAUGCGUUAUUGUAUCAAAUCUCUUGGGUGAAAACAAACUUUUCCCUUAAUUUUCCAGCUUUUAUUGAGGCAAUGUAUUACCUGAUCAUUUGCAAAAAUUUUGGACACUAUUUUGGGAAAUUUCAUGUUAUUCUUAGCCUAACUCAUACUUGCAGGUAGAGCUGGCAAAAUUUGACACGACCCGAUUACCCGACACGAACACGACAUAAAUAAAUAGGUAUGGGUCGUCAAAUUUAACACGAUUAUUAAAUGGGUCGGGUCCGGGUCAACACGAUUUUUUUCCGUGUCGGGUUUGGGUUAAAAUUCUUGACCCAUUUACCCGAUCAAUGACCCGAUUAUAUUUUCUAUUUUAAAAUAAUUUACAUAUUCUUAUAAUUAAAACUUAAAUAUUAGAGAUGAUUUUCUUUUUUUUAUUCUUUAAAAGGGUGAAUAUAAACACAAUGUUUUAUUUAUAAAAUUUUACAUACAUUUAGAGCUUCAAUAGUGUAAAUGUGUAAAAAUUAAUAGACAUGUAUAUUUUAUAAUAUUGAUAUAUAAUAUUUUAUAUAUAUAUAUAUAUAUAUAAUUAAAACCUCAAUAGUGUAAAUGUGUAAUAUAUUGGUAGAUAUGUAUAUUUUAUAAUAUCGAUAAAUUAUGUAUGUAUGCAUGUAUGUAUGUAUGUAUUUAUGUACAUAUGUAUGUAUGAUAGUGUGUAAAUAUUUGAUAUAACUUUUAUUCAAUAUAUAGAUAUUAAACGGGUUAUUGGGUAACCCGAUUAUUUUUCCGUGUCGGGUUUGGGUCUCAAUAUUUUGACACGAUUAUUAAAUGGGUCGGGUUUGGGUCGACCUAAAUUUGACACGACACGAAGCUGACACGACACGAACACAACCGGAUGACCCGUUUUGCCAGCUCUACUUGCAGGCUUCAACAAGUUGUAUUAAACCAUUAGUUGCAUACACCCGUUCACUGUUUGUUAAAAUGCAUUAAAUGUGUUCUUUUAUCAGCAGGUGACCGGCUCAUAGCCUUUUCCUUAGGUUUCUUCCAUUUGUCUUUGUGUCUCAUCUACAGCCGUCAGAUCAAAUCCAAUGCUCACUUUGCUAAGAGACAAAUGACUGGGGUGCCAGAGGCAGGACGCAAUGUAGUUAUGCCCUGUGUUUAUACAUAUUGCAUAUUCUUUAGAAUUAUUUUGUUAUUAAGUCAUCUCUAGUUCAUUAAAUUUAUGUAGCAAGUCAAAUGUUUUUUAAUUGUUCCCAAUUUUUUUUUGCUUUAAAAUGGUUUCCAUUUAUUCAACUGAUCUUCCUAUUAUGGACAACAUGAACUAUUGGGUAAACUUACUGUAAAUUCAUGGAAGAAUCUGUUUUAGUUAUUAUUUGAAACAUAGCAUUGAAAUGAAGUAUUGUGUAAAAUACAAGGAUGAAUUGACGUAUCCAACCUUCAUAGUGACAAGGAUUUUUUUCCCUUAUUUUUCAACCAAUUAUUUAGGGAACGCAUUGCCUGAUUUUGUAAUAAUGAUAUUUCAGACACUAUCUUCGAAACUUUCAUAUGGAUCUUACCCCAACCGGUACUUC
rnacentral:lncRNA from 1 species